rnacentral:lncRNA from 1 species
AACAAAUUCCAACAACCAGGAGAUAUAAUUGAAGGAAGUGGGGAACACAGCCCAACAAAUGGACAGUUUACAAGUCAAACCAGGAACAUAAAUGCCUAGCACCGAGUUAUUUCAUCAGAAGCUUGCUCACGUGAAAGGAUGAAAGGUCAAGCAGACAUUCCCCCCACCUAAGAGUCUGCCUCGGGUAAAUGCAUGCACAACAAAGAACUAAGUGAUGUUCCUUCGUUUCUUUUCUCCGAAACAAAAUUCACAAAAAUCGAGGUCCAUCAUAGGAUACGGCGUAGGAGACAUUCAGACACUGAAGUUUCAAUUGAUAAAAUAUUAAGUUUCGCCUCAGACAAAGCCAUGGACAUGGGGGAAAAUGAUGAGGACUCGGAUGAAGAUGCCAUCUCAGUGAACUUUACAGCUAGUUGGGAACGAGAGAGAUAUUACUAGUGCGCUAAUCCAGGGAAAAAUCAAGAAAUUUAGCAUUUUUGGUUUCAAAUUUUUACUCUAGGUCCGUCUUGGAAAAUCUCUUAUGCUCAUGUAACUUGGAGGCUCGGAUCAUGUCCCCCUUCUUUGCUCUUUUUAUUUUGUAACUUAUAAAAUUUAACAAGGUAGUUGGGCCCUGCAAUUUUUUCCAACUUAAAAAAAAAUCGUGUAUGGGGCUGAAAUGGUAUUGACCUAAUUCACACAAUACACCGGUUAAUUGGCCAAAAUAUCCAAUUCAACUCCAAACAAAUUCAUUUCACUUCCAAUACUCCAAAUCAUCAAAUAUAAGCUAGAUAACAUGAAUUAUAGCAAAAUCAUCCUUAACAUUUUCUCUUGGAAAAAUUCGGCCAUGGAGGGUUCAUGAAUAAUAUGUGGUUUUUCAUGCUUGAUUUUUACACUUUACAUCAUAAAACAACUAAAAAUACCUAAAUAGCAUAAAAUUCAUCAAAGUCCAUUUUCCAGUUUCUCUCUUGAAAAAUUCAGCCAAUGGGUGUGGAUGAAGGGCAUGAAAUUUCUUGCUUGUUUUUCAUGCUAAACAUCACCAAACAACUAAAAAAACUAGAAUAACAUGAAAUCUAGCUAAAUCCAAGAUCAAAAUCCCUCCCCCCAUGUCUAGCCAGCAAAGGUAUCUCCAUGUAAACUUGAUUCUCAACCAUGGAAAAUGAAAAAGAAUGCAUAGGAAAGGUAGAUCACAAGCUAAAAUCAAGAAAUUUUACCUUUACUUGCUUAAUUCCUUAAAAUCCACCAAUUUUUCCUUGAAUUUUUGCUCACUAGGGUUUGUUCUCUUCUUUUUUUCUCUUUGUUCUUGUCUUAGCCGACCAUGAAGAAUGAAAUAAGAGAGGUGUGU